AAUGUAAGUGAACACAUUAGAUUACACUCUCGUCCUAACUACACACAGAGACCAUCAGACUACUUUGCUUACUGCUACUUUCUUGAUGCACAUUUCAUUUACAAUGAAUGACAGCUAGAGUACAUUAAUGUUAAUAAUUUAUUAUGUUUUUUUUUUCUCGGUUCCUUCACUAGUUGGUUGGUUGGUUUUGGUUUGGUUUGGUCAGUCAGACAUGCUUUUCUCUCUUUAUAUUAUUAUCUAUAAGAUGAAACUUUUAUGGUAAAUGCACUGCUGAGCAAAUGUGGAAUUAAAGCACCAGAAAGAAGGGGUACUCUUGAACGAAAAAUGUUGCUGUUGGUGUUUAAUAACGUCGUCUAGCAUAAUGUGGAACAAAGUCAGUCGUUGAAGAAGCAUGACCUCCUCCGUCUUCUCCUUUCUCAGCUCAUUUUCUCCGACAACUAUCCAUCACAGGCCGCGCACUCAAUUACGCCAUGUGUAUGGAAACUAUUACAUAAGUCCACCUAUUUAGGCACCACACAUGCACAAAUAAAUAGCAACGUCUUGUGUAUUCCAAAUAUACCACAAGCAUAUCGCUCGAAUAGAUAAACUUUUUUUUACUACGUUUCAUUAAUUUCGUGAUACGGAACAGGAUGAAAAAAUCGUGAGAAUGUGGCUCGAAUAUGACUUUAAAAUAUCAAGGCAAUGCGAACGGGCCUUCACCAUCACAAUACAAUAAGUCUUCCAAAUUCACUACACUCAAUUACAUUGAAAAAAUGAAUUGCAAUUAAUAUUGCAAAUAAA